GGCUCAGGACGAACGCUGGCGGCGUGCCUAAUACAUGCAAGUCGAGCGGACAGAUGGGAGCUUGCUCCCUGAUGUUAGCGGCGGACGGGUGAGUAACACGUGGGUAACCUGCCUGUAAGACUGGGAUAACUCCGGGAAACCGGGGCUAAUACCGGAUGGUUGUUUGAACCGCAUGGUUCAAACAUAAAAGGUGGCUUCGGCUACCACUUACAGAUGGACCCGCGGCGCAUUAGCUAGUUGGUGAGGUAACGGCUCACCAAGGCAACGAUGCGUAGCCGACCUGAGAGGGUGAUCGGCCACACUGGGACUGAGACACGGCCCAGACUCCUACGGGAGGCAGCAGUAGGGAAUCUUCCGCAAUGGACGAAAGUCUGACGGAGCAACGCCGCGUGAGUGAUGAAGGUUUUCGGAUCGUAAAGCUCUGUUGUUAGGGAAGAACAAGUACCGUUCGAAUAGGGCGGUACCUUGACGGUACCUAACCAGAAAGCCACGGCUAACUACGUGCCAGCAGCCGCGGUAAUACGUAGGUGGCAAGCGUUGUCCGGAAUUAUUGGGCGUAAAGGGCUCGCAGGCGGUUUCUUAAGUCUGAUGUGAAAGCCCCCGGCUCAACCGGGGAGGGUCAUUGGAAACUGGGGAACUUGAGUGCAGAAGAGGAGAGUGGAAUUCCACGUGUAGCGGUGAAAUGCGUAGAGAUGUGGAGGAACACCAGUGGCGAAGGCGACUCUCUGGUCUGUAACUGACG
rnacentral:rRNA from 2 species